UGUUCCUGGAGGGACUGAAAUGGCCACCAGUUUAGCCUGCGGAACAUCUGCAAACCCUGUCUCCCUGACCGGGGGAUGCUGGGAACUAUUUCCCUUGAUAUGGCCAAAAAAAACCCUAACAAACCACCAUCUGCCUGAACUUCUUCAGAGCAGGGUGAUGACGCACAGGGCCCCCUCUGCCACCUGGAAUUAGGGGGGCCAGCACCUUUCAAAGCCUCUGCUCUAAUAAAGGGCCCCACGCUUCAAAUGCCUUUCCAGACUCCUCGUAAGAGCUGACUGGUGAUAAAUUAUGCAAAUGGAGCGUGGCGGUCAGGGCCUGGCCUGCUUGGUGAUCUGCCGAUGCCCUAGAUGGGACUGAGGGGUUUGAACCUGUGUGCGUAUCUGGAUGCUGCUGAUUUAUUCUCUCCUUUAGAAAGCUGCCACUGCUGGGGAUUGGGAUUUGCCAUCGCUCCCCCUGCAGAUCUAGGGAAUGAAGCAGCACUGGGGGUGGCAGCAAAGGCAGAGAAACUCAGCAGCCUGGAGAGUAUAACGGGGUGAGCGCUGCAGGCUACUUCGGCAAGCAAUAAAAUCACACGGGGAUCUGGGCUCACUAAGGAGACGAACCAAUCUGUACUGCUGCAGUUGUCAGCUGUGUACAGACUGUGCUGGGCCAGGCCCUGCUGUGAAACCAACCCGGAAAAGGCAGAGAGAGAUCAGAAACAUUUUAACCAGGACUGCAGC